rnacentral:ncRNA from 2 species
AAAAUUGCUACACUCCGAGCCUAAAGACCUACGUCACGGCGCUACGUGACAGGGUCUGCGGCCGACAGGGCGGGAUUGGAAACGGCCCCGCCUCCCGAGCAUUUGGAAAGGAGACAGCAUGACAGCGCCAC